UAUCAGGUCGGCAGGCUGCCUGGAACUGAAGAAGCCACAUCAACCUUCAGCUACAAGCAGCAAGCACAGGGCCACUAAAUGGAGACAAAGCCAGUCAAGAGCUGGAUGGAUGGAGGAGCCUGGCCCUGUGGCCUAGUGGUUAAUCUCAGGUCCCAACAUUGGAAAUUAUUCAUUUUAUGUGAAUAAGAUGAUUUUGAAAAUCUGCAGCAGAGUUCAACCAGAGUUUACUUUGUAUAUUGAUUUAAUAGAAAUCUUGUCAUCUUGCCCUUCACAUUUAGAUCAACUCUCUAUCUGGAACAGAUUUUUAUGUGUAAUGUGGGGUAAGGAGUGAAGAUUAAUUUUUCUUCCAUUUGAAUGUUCAAUUUACUCAGCUCCAUUUACUGAAAAGAUCAUUAUUUCCCACUGUUCUGUACCGCCACUGUUUUGUAAAUUAAAUGUCCAUAUAUGUGUGGAUUUAGUUUGUGGACUCUAUACUGUUCCAUUGGUCUAUUUGUGUAUUAUUGUGCCAAUACCAUAUUGUCUGAAAUAUUUUAGAUUUAAA
rnacentral:lncRNA from 1 species